rnacentral:rRNA from 1 species
AUUGAACGCUGGCGGCAGGCUUAACACAUGCAAGUCGAGCGAGUGGCGGACGGGUGAGUAAUGUCUGUGAAACUGCCUGAUGGAGGGGGAUAACUACUGGAAACGGUAGCUAAUACCGCAUACCAUCAGAUGUGCCCAGAUGGGAUUAGCUAGGAGGUGGGUUAAUGGCUCACCUAGGCGACGAUCCCUAGCUUGUCUGAGAGGAUGACCAGCCACACUGGAAAUGAGACACGGUCCAGACUCCUAGGGGAGGAAGAAGUGGGGAAUAUGGCACAAUGGGCGCAAGCCUGAUGCAGCACUGCGGCGGGUGUGAAGAGGGCCUUCGGGUGGUAAAGCACUUUCAGCGAGGAGGCGUUACUCACAGAAGAAGCACCGGCUAACUACGUGCCAGCAGCCGCGGUAAUUC